CCCGGGCCUUGUACACACCGCCCGUCACGUCAUGAAAGUCGGGGGACGCCUGAAGCCGGUGGCCGAACCCGCGAGGGACGGAGCCGUCGAAGGCGGGACUGGCGAUUGGGACG
rnacentral:rRNA from 1 species